CCUACGGGUGGCAGCAGUGAGGAAUAUUGGUAAAUGGACGGAAGUCUGAACCAGCCAUGCCGCGUGCAGGAAGACGGCUCUAUGAGUUGUAACCUGCUUUUGUACAAGGGUAAACCUGAAUACGUGUAUUCAGCUGAAAGUACUGUACGACUAAGGAUCGGCUAACUCCGUGCCAGCAGCCGCGGUAAUACGGAGGAUCCAAGCGUUAUCCGGAUUUAUUGGGUUUAAAGGGUGCGUAGGCGGAUUGAUAAGUUAGAGGUGAAAUGUCCGAGCUUAACUCGGGAACUGCCUCUAAUACUGUUGAUCUAGAGAGUAGAUGCGGUAGGCGGAAUGUAUGGUGUAGCGGGGAAAUGCUUAGAGAUCAUACAGAACACCGAUUGCGAAGGCAGCUUACCAAUCUAUAUCUGACGUUGAGGCACGAAAGCGUGGGGAGCAAACAGGAUUAGAUACCCUGGUAGUC
rnacentral:rRNA from 1 species